rnacentral:lncRNA from 1 species
CAAGUGUGCCAAAGAAUCUCGUCGAGACGCAUGCAUACUGGCCGGAUGGCCCGCGCCGUGUUUUGGGGUUUGUUUUGCCGCCGCCCGUAGCAGGGCUUACUAUCAUAAUUUCUUAUUAUUGCAGUAUCGAAGGACGGCAACCGACGGGCGCCCUAUGGUGAUAAACAUUGGAAGCAAUGCGUGCAAGACGGCGGCAGUGGAGUGACCUGCUCUAUGUCUGCCAAACAACCGCAGCACGUGUGCUGCGAGUGCAACAAAUAACUUGGAUGAAGACAAUAACAGAUCAGGCAUUUGUAGCAACUGUACCUUUAUGAUGGUGAUGGCGACCUAUCCUGGAUGCUCUUUUGAAGAAAUGAGACAAACUUGAUCGAAAUAAAAUUUGCAAGCAUAGCUUGUUCAUAAA